UACGUAGGGUGCGAGCGUUAAUCGGAAUUACUGGGCGUAAAGCGUGCGCAGGCGGUGCUGUAAGACCGAUGUGAAAUCCCCGGGCUUAACCUGGGAACUGCAUUGGUGACUGCAGCGCUGGAGUAUGGCAGAGGGGGGGGUGGAAUUCCACGUGUAGCAGUGAAAUGCGUAGAGAUGUGGAGGAACACCGAUGGCGAAGGCAGCCCCCUGGGCCAACUGAACUGACGCCUCGAUGACACGAAAGCCGUAGGGGA
rnacentral:rRNA from 1 species